rnacentral:lncRNA from 10 species
UUAAGAGCAAUAGUUUAAUAUUUUCUAAUUCAGUGUUCACAGUGACUUUACAAAACAUAAAUAUCACAAAUAAGGGGAAUAGAUAUAGUUGACAAAAGAGUUAUAUCCUAUAUACAGGAAGAAGUCCUACUACUCAAUAAUAAGAAGACAGCACAAUAGAAAAACAGCAAAAGACUUGAGAAGACAUUUUAAAAUUGAACAAGAUGACCUAUAGACAUAUGCCAUAUGUCCAUUUUAUUAGAGAUUUGGGAGAUGCAGAUAAAAACCACAAUGUGAUAUCACUGUAUACCCACCAGAAGACUAACAGAUUACCUUUUAACAGAAUAUUUAAAACAACCUAAAUUUUCAACUCUGGGGGGAGGUUGCCAGACAAUGACACAUUCCUGGUAGCAAUAUUGAACCAAUAGUAAUAAAUGUUUAUUUCACAGAAGAAAGGCUGAAAAGAAAUAUACCAAUAUAUUAAAAAUGGUGAUCUUUGGCUGGUAGGAUUAGAGGUAACUUAUUUCCUUUAUAUUUUUUCUCAAAUAUUUCAAGAUUCAUCACAUAAGUAUAAUUAUUUUUGUUUAAAAAAUUACAUGUGCUACUUUCUGAAAAAAGAAUGACCAUUUUAUCAUUCACAUUUUUCUAACUUACAAAGAUAUCUCUUUUUUUUUCUUUUUAUGCCAAUAGCCAAUUUGGGUGUCUCUGCAGGCUAGUUGCUGGCAUGGAAAUUACUUUUCAAAUUAAAAUUUAAAAUGCAUUAUGAAACAUUCUAAAUGAUUUCUGAAAGAAGAAAUUGCAUCUUAGUCAAAAUAAACAUUCUGAUUUCUGUGUUGUAAUUCUGAAUAAUAAUAAUCUCAUCACAGAAAUAAAAAGAAAAUUGCCUCAGUCAUCGAACUGAUAGAAUAUAGACAAUGAUAAACCUCAUGGUAUACAAUAGAAUUAGACAAUUGAUCAAUAAUCAAUAUUGUGCACAUGGCCAGGGUUUUAUUACCAUAUUUUAUUGGCAAUAAAUAUUCUGUCUUGUCUUCUUGCAGGAAACAGAGAAGAAAGAUAAGAAUACAAAAUUCAUAUUUUGAAAAUUCAGACUCAUUAACUGUCAUCAUCAUUGCUCUAAAAGAAGCUGAAUGGAGUAAUUCAAUGGUGCAAAAGUCAAAUCUUAGCUCUUGAACUGUAGCAUUAACAGACAUUUGACUUUCAUAAGUCUUCUGUGAGAUGUUCUGACAUUGACUAGUCCCUGCAUUUGACAGGGGCCUAGGGCUCCCCAGAAGGGGAAGAGACCUUACUCAAGGCCCUCUGGCUGCCCGCCUGUAGAGCAUCUCAAGACUGCACAAUGAUUAUUUCCUGAUUUGGUGGAUCUCAUGAGGCCUCUCUGCCGAGCUCCUAACUAGCUGACCGGUGAAGGGUGAGGAUGCUAGCAGAGUGCACCAGCUCACAGACAAAACAGACUCUGCAGACUCACUGGACCACAUCCAGGAGGGAGAGGCCAUGGGCUUUGCCAUGCACCAGAGGAAUCUCUUAGUUCUGGUGGUAGGAGGCAAGAGAGGGGGUGAGGAGGGAUGGAGGCAAAGUAUUUUCCAAGAUGAUACGGAUGAGAAUUAUGAGUUUGUCCUGUGAUCAAAAAGAAAAUAAAUCUGAGUGAAAUUUUGGAAAUAAAGAUACAUGGCUCACUAUCCAAUGUGAGAUGGCAGGGCAGCCAUUGAGGCUUCAGAGAGGGAAGUCAGAUAGCUCCCGGCUCAGCUCAGUGUAAUGGCCAUGGCGGGGAGCAUCAGGAUCCUCCUGGACUCAGACCACAUUCUCUCUGGGAGGGCUUGAGCAGAGGGCUGCCCCUGCACAUCCACCCUGCAGGGAGAAUCAGCAGAACCCACGGUGCCACCUGCACAUCCAGCAACAAGGGUCCCAAGCUGCUGCUGCAUGCUUGUGAUCUGCAAUUCUGCUCACACAAAAAGAUGUAUAGGAAGGGUUCUGGUGAGCAGACAUGGACUUUGAGCAUGGAACUCCUCCUGAUCCUCUGAUGCCCUCUCAUCCUCUGGAGAACCUCCCCAUUGCCAGCUGUCCUGCUGGGGUUUCCUGCAGAUGGAGCUGCAGCUCAGGGACAAGGGGAGACCCCGGCAGUCGGAGCCUGUGGCAUGGCCCCCACAAGGCCACAAGCUGUGGGCUGUGAGCUGGGCAUUGUGGUCACUGUAGCCACCUGCAGGGAGGUAGCUUCCCCCUUGGCCAAGAGCAGAGAAUGGACCCACUCUGACCUGGGGCGGUUGUGAAGGGUGAGCCGGCUCAGCCCUGUGUCUGCCCCAGGGAUAUACAGCCUUUGCCAGAGAAGACCCAGUGUGGACAGGGCAUUGGUGUGGUGACUUUUGGGCCUAAUGUUUUAAUUCUUAAGUUGAAAUUAUGUUCUGUGAUGUAUAGACCUAUUUAUCUAAGAGAUGGAGGCCCACAAUUUUAGAGGCAGGGGAUUUUAAAAGGAGUGAGAGACACCAGAAAUAAACCACACACAACUAUUGUUUGAUGAAGCCACGGAUUGUAUUUAUCUCACAUGUGCACUGCAUUGAGAGAAGCCUGCAACAGACUGGGAGGCUUUUGCCCAGCACGAUGAUGUAGGGCCCAAGCUCUCCCUGGCCUCUGGUACUGUGCAGGCUGCUAGAAGCUUACAACACAGCCACCCACAGGGAUGUACUUCGUUGAGGAGAAAUUCUUUAAUUAAAAUUUAAGACAUGAUCCGAGCAGGUAUUUCUUAAAUUCAAAAUGACAAUUCAACAUUCAAAGUGAAUGACAGAAAGUUACAUACCUGUGUAACUUAAUGUCAGAGGGGCUCCUGUGGCACACAAAACAUCCUGUUAUCCUUGUAUCCAACCUGGCAGUGUUGAAUGUACCUGAGCCUGUGGUCCUGGAAAGCAGUGAUAGAUAAAGAAUUGCUCCACCAACCCCUCCCACCCCCCUCCCCCAUCCCCCUACUCCCUCAUCCGACUUUUAUCACCACUAAAAAAAAAGUCCCUUCCUUAUGUGCCUUAGAUGAGACUGGAGGUGCCCCUUGUUCACCUAGGACUGGGCCAGAGCCAGACCCUCCACAUUUCCAUCUUUGCUGCAUAAAUGCUUUGCUGAGUUGCUCGUGCCCACUGAUCAGUCAGAACAAAAUAAUUUUUAACCCAAUGUUGGUUCAGUUUCUGUCUUUCAGGCCCCUGCACCUCAGCUCCUCCUUAAUUUGAACCGCUCGGGGGCCUCCUGAGCACAUGUGACCUCAGGUCAAACCUUCUCUGAUCUAUGUCCAAACUUGCCACCCCCAGCCCAUUUUCCCAAACCAGCUCCUUCUAGCCUUAUUUAGUCCUCUCUGUACAAGAAAAAACGACUUGCCUAACCCUUGAGUUUGUUCUCACCAAGUCUGGAUUUGUUUUUCAUGUGACAAACUUUGCUAAUUCUAUGGCCUAUGGAAGCCCCAGCCUUCUCCCAGGUCAGGCCUGGCCUGAGCACGCAGUGCAGGGGGCACGGUGAAAACACAGGCUGCAUACAAAUGUCUGAGAUAAAAAUCAAGCUGUAAGUCAACCCAGCAAGCAUUUAAAUAAAACACACCCUCUUCUCACCUUCGCAAAGAAACCUGCCCAAUGACCUGAAGUCCUGGUUUAGAUUUAGAAGAGUAGCACAGCAACACAGGGGAGAACUGGCUCCUUUCCCUGAUGCAUGGGCUCAGGAGGCCCCUGAAAGGUCUGACCUGCAGGGGUGUGGUCACACAGCUCAUGUGCCCUUUGGACCUCGGCUGGACACAGCCACACAUGGCCAGCCCCCUAGAGGAUGGGCCACGGGGGUGCUGCAGGCCGUGGGGCUGGCUCUGGUGUAUUAAUCAUCAUGGCAGCUAUGGAGAGUUUUGAAACAGAAUCAUCCAAUCUUUCCUAAAAGUGCACCAGGCCAAAGAAGAUACACUGGAAGAUGUUAUUAGCUCCUGAAAUUUGGUAACAAGAAAGGCCUUUAAAGUCUCCAGGACUUUAGCUCCUUAACGGUGGGACUAUGCUUUAGAUAGAAGCUGAUUAGUAAAUAUUGAUUGAAUGAAUACAUCCAGACAGAGUGUUUGGAAUCUUGGCUCACCCUGCUCACCUCCCCAGCUCCCAGUCUGGUCUGUCUUCAUCAUGGGAAAUGCUUGCUGUACUGGCCAGAAUGAGCAUCAGAACAUGCAAAGAGCCCAGAUCUGAAAGAAACGUACCAUCUAUUCUUCGAAGGCUGCAACCAGUGAGGUUUCAUCUACAUAACAAGACCACCUUUGGCGGCCAGGCCUCCUCUUCUCUCCCUCCCAUUACCUGUUUUGCCAUUAUAACCUGAUUUACCACUAUAACCUGUUUUUGCCUGUGCUCUGGACUCCCAUUCUUUCUGUAACCUCAAGAUGAUAUGUAAGCUUCUGCACCCCAUUGGUGAGUUGAGCAGUCACUCUGUGGUUCUCCCUGUGCUCACAUUAAUAAAAUC